CUUGGUCAUUUAGAGGAAGUAAAAGUCGUAACAAGGUUUCCGUAGGUGAACCUGCGGAAGGAUCAUUAAUGAGUUGUAGAGAGGGGUUUGAUGCUGGCAACCAAGUUUUGGAUGCAUGUGCUUGCCCCUAACACAAUCAUCUUCCAAACACCUGUGCACAUUUUGAGGGGGUUUCGAGUUGAUUUGCCACAUUGUGGUGGUUUUCUUGCAUUCCCUUAAAUCAUUAUACGCUGUUAACAAAUGCUGAACGUGCUUUGUGCCGCAAGGCCUUUAAUAUAUAUAAUACAACUUUUAACAACGGAUCUCUUGGCUCUCGCAUCGGUGAAGGACGCAGCGAAAUGCGAUAAGUAAUGUGAAUUGCAGAAUUCAGUGAAUCAUCGAAUCUUUGAACGCACCUUGCGCUCCCUGGUAUUCCGGGGAGCACGCCUGUUCGAGAGUCGCGAAAUUUCUCAAGCUUUGUGGAUGGCCUUUUUUUGUCUGUCCCUUAGCAUUGGUUGUUGGGCUUUGCCGUGUCCUUCAUUGGGAUGGCUGGCCUUAAAAGCAUUAGCUGAUCCUCAUGUGGCCACUGGUUCUACUCAGCGUGAUAACAAUCUGAUCGCUGAGGACAUCUUUUCGGGAUGGCCAGUUCUCAUUUGGGUUGCUUCUAACCUGGUUUUGCAGACUCUUCAAUCUGUGUUCCACUUUUUUCAGCUUUGACCUCGAAUCAGGUGGGACUACCCGCUGUGCUUAAGCAUAUCAAUAAGCGGAGGA
rnacentral:rRNA from 1 species